UAUCACUCAGCAGGUAGCGUAGGUAAUUUAUUGCUUUCGUUUUCCGUGUACUUUGUUGUCUGCUGGUUAGCAUCAAUUUUGAUUGUCAUAAAAAGGUUAAGGGGAUGUGGCUCCUUCGGGAGUGUUAUAACCCUUAGCGGAAUGUGGCGAUUGGGAUUGAGGAUUGCAACGAAUACCUUUAGGGCAGUUCCGUCUGGUCUCUUGUUGAUUUUCAGAUAGCAAAAGCUUGCUUUUGUUGUUUGAAUAGUUAGCAAAUAGAUUGGAAAGUGAAUUAAUUCGUUAAGGAUGCUGACGUA
rnacentral:rRNA from 1 species